GGAGCUGUAGCUCAGUCUGGUUAGAGCGCCUGCCUGUCACGCAGGAGGUCGCGGGUUCGAGCCCCGUCAGCUCCGCAA
rnacentral:tRNA from 2 species